rnacentral:rRNA from 1 species
UGGGGAAUAUUGCACAAUGGGCGCAAGCCUGAUGCAGCCAUGCCGCGUGUGUGAAGAAGGCCUUCGGGUUGUAAAGCACUUUCAGCGGGGAGGAAGGCGUUAAGGUUAAUAACCUUGGCGAUUGACGUUACCCGCAGAAGAAGCACCGGCUAACUCCGCGCCAGCAGCCGCGGUAAUACGGAGGGUGCAAGCGUUAAUCGGAAUUACUGGGCGUAAAGCGCACGCAGGCGGUCUGUCAAGUCGGAUGUGAAAUCCCCGGGCUCAACCUGGGAACUGCAUUCGAAACUGGCAGGCUAGAGUCUUGUAGAGGGGGGUAGAAUUCCAGGUGUAGCGGUGAAAUGCGUAGAGAUCUGGAGGAAUACCGGUGGCGAAGGCGGCCCCCUGGACAAAGACUGACGCUCAGGUGCGAAAGCGUGGGGAGCAAACAGG